UUCUUAGUUAGACAAGAGGCAGACCCGCUGCCUACCCCGACAAUUCCCCCUUUUUGUAUUUGUGCUACAAAUAUUGCAUGAGCAGCCUUCUGCAGGGCCCUUUGCAGGAGACUGAAAAGACAUGGCAACAUUAAAGCACA